GACAGAGGGUGCAAACGGUUGUUCGGAAUUACUGGGCGUAAAGCGCGUGUAGGCGGCUAAGUAAGUCGGGCGUGAAAUCCCACGGCUCAACCGUGGAAGUGCACUCGAAACUGCAUAGCUAGAGUCCUGGAGAGGAAGGUGGAAUGCUUGGUGUAGAGGUGAAAUUCGAUAGAUAUCAAGCGGAACACGGUGGCGAAGGCGGCCUCUGGACAGUGAC
rnacentral:rRNA from 1 species